rnacentral:rRNA from 1 species
GUGAGGAAUCUUCCACAAUGGGCGAAAGCCUGAUGGAGCAACGCCGCGUGCAGGAUGAAGGCCUUCGGGUCGUAAACUGCUUUUAUAAGUGAAGAAUAUGACGGUAACUUAUGAAUAAGCACCGGCUAACUACGUGCCAGCAGCCGCGGUCAUACGUAGGGUGCAAGCAUUAUCCGGAGUGACUGGGCGUAAAGAGUUGCGUAGGUGGUUUGUUAAGUAGGUAGUGAAAUCUGGCGGCUCAACCGUACAGGCUAUUACCUAAACUGGCAAACUCGAGAAUGGUAGAGGUAACUGGAAUUUCUUGUGUAGGAGUGAAAUCCGUAGAUAUAAGAAGGAACACCAAUGGCGUAGGCAGGUUACUGGGCCAUUUCUGACGCUAAGGCACGAAAGCGUGGGGAGCGAACCGGAUUAGAUACCCUUGUAGUCC